UGUGCUCUCACUACCACAUUCGCGUUUUCUUUAUUUUAAGGGAUAACAAUUGUUAUAUUACCACUCGUUACGAUUGAUCUUGGUGAGAAACAUAAGUAAGAGUUGAGUUUCCCUUUAUUUCGUGUGUCAGAAAAAGUGAGUUUGAGACCAUGCGGUUAUUAUAAAAAAAAAGUAUAUAUAUAUAUCAAUAAUUGAUGAUACCAAUGAUAAUGGAGAAAGAAAGAGAUGUAUUAUUAAACAGUUUGUUCUGUGGUUGCUGGUAUUUCCGCCGAAUCUGUUCGUCCGAAGAAUUUCUGGGUUUUUGAGCCUCGGGAGAAGAAAUGGGACGCAACAUUACAGGUGAGAACAACUAAUUUCGUCCGCAAGAGCAUGUAAAGGUAAGAUAGAGAAAGAAGAAGAAA